UGCUGUGAGAGCAGAGAUCUGAUCGUGGGCAUCGGGAUGAGAGCAAACAGGAACAACCUGUUAAACCACAAGGCCACAUGUGAAAGACAGUGAGGGUUUUUUUUUUACUCUGGGAAAACACAGUCUGUCAACAUCAACAACACUAUGACUGACUAUGCCUGGCUUUCUAUUCACAGGUCAUGCUACAUGAUGGAUUGUCUGUUGGUCCAUCACAAACUGUGCCUCACGCCAAGAUGCUCAGUCUUACCGAGGUAGAACAUGUAGGUUGCUGUGACGAAGGACAUG